rnacentral:rRNA from 1 species
UAGGGAAUAUUAGAAAUGGACGAAAGUCUGAUCUAGCAACACCGCGUGUGCGAAGAAGGCCUUCGGGUUGUAAAGCACUUUUUGGAAGGAUUAGGAAGGAAUGUACUUCCAGAAUAAGUCUCGGCUAACUACGUGCCAGCAGCCGCGGUAACACGUAGGAGGCGAACGUUAUCCGGAUUUACUGGGCGUAAAGCGCGUGUAGGUGGUUCUGUAAGUAGGGCGUGAAAGCUCCUGGCUCAACUGGGAGAGGCCGUUCUAAACUGCAGAGCUAGAGGACGGUAGAGGGAGGUGGAAUUCCGGGUGUAGCGGUGGAAUGCGCAGAUAUCCGGAGGAACACCAGUGGCGAAAGCGGCCUCCUGGACCAUUCCUGACACUCAGACGCGAAAGCUAGGGUAGCAAACG